rnacentral:tRNA from 1 species
GGAGAGAUGGCCGAGUGGCUGAAGGCGCGCCCCUGCUAAGGGCGUAUAGGGUAAAACCUAUCGAGGGUUCGAAUCCCUCUCUCUCCGCCA